rnacentral:rRNA from 1 species
UACGAAGGGGGCUAGCGUUGUUCGGAUUUACUGGGCGUAAAGGGCGCGUAGGCGGAUUUUUAAGUCAGGGGUGAAAUCCCAAGGCUCAACCUUGGAACCGCCUUUGAUACUGGGGAUCUUGAGUCCGGGAGAGGUGAGUGGAACUGCGAGUGUAGAGGUGAAAUUCGUAGAUAUUCGCAAGAACACCAGUGGCGAAGGCGGCUCACUGGCCCGGAACUGACGCUGAGACGCGAAAGCGUGGGGAGCGAACAGG